CCUACGGGAGGCAGCAGUGAGGAAUAUUGGUCAAUGGCCGGAAGGCUGAACCAGCCAAGCCGCGUGAAGGACGAAGGUGCCAAGCAUUGUAAACCUCUUUUGUCAGGGAGCAAUUGGCGCUACGUGUAGCGUUAUCGAGAGUACCUGAAGAAAAAGCAUCGGCUAACUCCGUGCCAGCAGCCGCGUGAAUACGGAGGAUGCGAGCGUUAUCCGGAUUUAUUGGGUGUAAAGGGUGCGUAGGCGGAAUGCCAAGUCAGCGGUAAAACCGCGGGGCUCAACCUCGCUCCGCCGUUGAAACUGGCGUUCUUGAGUGGGCGAGAAGUAUGCGGAAUGCGUGGUGUAGCGGUGAAAUGCAUAGAUAUCACGCAGAACUCCGAUUGCGAAGGCAGCAUACCGGCGCCCAACUGACGCUGAAGCACGAAAGCGUGGGUAUCGAACAGGAUUAGAUACCCCUGUAGUC
rnacentral:rRNA from 1 species